rnacentral:rRNA from 1 species
AGGCUAACCGCAAGGAGGCCGCUUACCACGGUGGGAUUCAUGACUGGGGUGAAGUCGUAACAAGGUAGCCGUAGGGGAACCUGCGGCUGGAUCACCUCCUUU